UACGUAGGGAGCAAGCGUUGUCCGGAAUCAUUGGGCGUAAAGCGCGCGUAGGUGGCUUCGUAAGUCCGUUGUGAAAGUCAAAGGCUCAACCUUUGAAAGCCGAUGGAUACUGCGGAGCUAGAGUACGGAAGAGGCGAGUGGAAUUCCUGGUGUAGCGGUGGAAUGCGCAGAUAUCAGGAGGAACACCAAUGGCGAAGGCAGCACUCUGGGACGGUACUGACGCUCAUGCACGAAAGCGUGGGGAGCAAACAGG
rnacentral:rRNA from 1 species